CAUGGAGUGGAGUCUGCGGCUUAAUUUGACUCAACACUGGGAAACUCAUCAGGGCAAGAAGAUUGUAGGAUUGACAGAUUGAGAGUUCUUUCUUGAUUGGUCUAGUGGUGGUGCAUGGCCGUUCUUAGUUGGUGGAGUGAUUUGUCUGGUUAAUUCCGUUAACGAACGAGACCUUAACCUGCUAACUAGUACACAGAUGACAAAUCUGUGAUACUUCUUAGAGGGACUAUGUGAUGUAAUCACAUGGAAGUUUGAGGCAAUAACAGGUCUGUGAUGCCCUUAGAUGUCCUGAGCUGCACGCGUACUACAAUGGUGCUUUCAACGAGCUUUUCCUGAUCCGAAAGGAUUUGGGUAAUCUUUUUAGUGAGCACCGUGCUUGGGAUAGAUCUUUGUAAUUAUGGAUCUUGAACUAGGAAUUCCUAGUAAGCACGUGUCAUCAGCACGUGCUGAUUACGUCCCUGCAAAAUGUACACACCGCCCGUCGCUAUUACCGAUUGAGUGUAAAGGUGAACCUUCUCGAUAGACGCAAGUUUAGAAAUUAAGUAAACC
rnacentral:rRNA from 1 species